GUCCUUGACGGUGUCUGUCUCCAUGGAGGAUAGUGGAUUCUGGAGCCAGGAAGCCAGAGAAGGAACCAAAGAAUCCAUGAGGUGAAAUUCCGAUGAACUUUCUAACAGGAGAAUCCAGUUGACCCCACCUGAGCUUACUGACCUAUCCUGUCACAACUCAAAGUAGAAGAGAGACAAUGAGCCUCCCCACUGGGCCACGAUGAAAAGCACAGCACCAUCUACAAAGGGUUCUUGCCUUUAAAAGUAAACCUGAAUCCAAUCAAGUCUCUGAAUCCAACCACUAGCUUUUAAGAAAUACAGAAGACAAAGGAAGAAGUUAAAGAAGGCCUCUGGGCAGCAAUCAGCCACAUCUAGGAUACAGGACAUCCUAGAGAUGCAGUGAACAAACUAGUUUCUCCAAGAAAUCAAUGGCAUUUUUAAUAAGAAUAAAGAAUAAAGCAAAAAGAACCAAGGAUAUGUACGAUAUACCCAAACGCAAUGUGUGGGUCUUGUUUGGAUCCUGAUUCAGACAAAUGAACUCUAAAAGACCUUGUUAAGAAUUUGAUCAGGCUAAGGGACUAUGGGAUUUGAUAACUCGUGUAUUAAAGAAUGGCCCUGCAAAUGUUACUCUAUCAUAAAAAUGUAACCACUCUAAUUGAAUUUAGAAGCAAUAUUAAAAUUAUUCUUUUGGUGAUGCUUCCUAGAUGUAUUAAAUAAAAUAUUUAAAGUAGCAAUUGAUUAAACUGCAAAAAAUAAAGAAUUUGAUCGUGAACUGUAUAUUAGAUGAUAUUUAUUAAGGAACAGUGGUUUAAUUUUGAUCGGUGUGAUAAUGCAUGGUGUUAGUGUUUUUAAAAUGCCCUUGUUAACUAGAGAUGCAUAAUGUAGUAUUUAUAGGCAAAAUUACAUACUGUCUGAUUUGUUUUAAAGGACUCCAGUUUUUAAAAAAAUAAUAUGAGAGAAGGGAUAGCUCAAAUAGAGAUGGCAAAACCUUGAUAAUUAUUGGUUGGGGGAUGGGUACAUAAGAAUUCUUCAUUAUAUUAUCCUCUUAUGUGUAUGCUUAAAAUUUCCCAAUUAAAUGUCUCUUAUUGUUUUGAAGUUAAAAACAAAUAAAUCCAAAAGUCAGAUAAGGAGCUAGGACAAAUAUUUGCAAUUUAUAUAAUAGUCAAAAGGUUAAUAUAUGGUCUAGAUAAGCUGUUCUUACAAAAUGUUAAAAGUGAGCACUCUAAUAAAAAAAUGAGUUAAAGACUUGAAAAGGCAAUUUACUAUAUUACAAAUGGCUAAUAAGCUUACAAAAAUUAGAGAAAGUCACUAAUUAUUAAAGGAAUCAAAUUAAAAGAGUGAUGAAAUAUUAUCUUGAAAUAUUUUUUACGUCAUUGGAAUGUGAUGAGAAGUAGACACAUCUGUACCACUGCUGGCCGGAUUAUAAAUUGUAAAAACUUUCUGGCAGAUAAUUUGACAACAUGUAUCAAAGACCCUUAAAAACGUGUGCCUGGGCUCCUUGGAGAAGUUGCUGUUUCUAGGACUGGGGCAGGAGAUACUCAAGACGAGACUGGAGUACUUGUAGCGCCAGACAGUGAAGGGGUGUCAGACAAAAAUUCCUCACAAUGAUG